rnacentral:rRNA from 1 species
AUACGGAGGAUCCGAGCGUUAUCCGGAUUUAUUGGGUUUAAAGGGUGCGCAGGCGGCCAUUUAAGUCAGCGGUUAAAUCGUGGGGCUCAACCCCAUUCUGCCGUUGAUACUGGGUGGCUUGAUUGCGGUCGAGGUUGGCGGAAUUCGUUGUGUAGCGGUGAAAUGCAUAGAUAUGACGAAGAACACCGAUUGCGUAGGCAGCUGACCAGACCGCAAAUGACGCUCAUGCACGAAAGUGCGGGGAUCGAACAGGAUUAGAUACCCUGGUAGUGCGCACAGUAAACGAUGAAUACUUGUUUUCGGCGAUAUAAUGUCGGAGGCAAAGCGAAAGCGAUAAGUAUUCCACCUGGGGAGUACGCCGGCAACGGUGAAACUCAAAUGAAUUGACGGGG